UCCCAGGUGGCUCAGUGGUAAAGAAUUUGCCUACUAAGCAGGAGACACAGGUUCAGUUCCUGGGUUGGGAA
rfam:Ovis aries breed Texel chromosome 14, whole genome shotgun sequence.